CCUACGGGUGGCAGCAGUGAGGAAUAUUGGUCAAUGGGCGCGAGCCUGAACCAGCCACGUAGCGUGAAGGAUGACUGCCCUACGGGUUGUAAACUUCUUUUCUAAAGGACUAAAGUGAGGCACGCGUGCCUUUUUGCAUGUACUUUAUGCUAAGGAUCGGCUAAAGUCGUGCGAGCAGCCGCGGUAAUAAGCAGGAUCCGAGCGUUAUCCGGGUUUAUUGGGUUGAAAGGGAGCGUAGAGGGGUUGUUAACUCAGUUGGGAAAGUUUGCGGCUCAACCGUGAAAUUGCAAUUGAUACUGGGAGUCUUGAGUAAAGUUGAGGUAGGCGGAAUUCGUGGUGUAGCGGUGAAAUGCUUAGAUAUCACGAAGAACUCCGAUUGCGAAGGCAGCUUACUAAACUGCCACUGACAUUGAGGCUCGAAAGUGUGGGUAUCAAACAGGAUUAGAUACCCUUGUAGUC
rnacentral:rRNA from 1 species